GCUCCCUUAGUUCAAUGGAAGAACAAGGGUCUUCUAAGCCCUAAGUUGUAAGUUCGAGUCUUACAGGGAGUA
rnacentral:tRNA from 1 species